AGCAAUGCUCCAGUGGCGCAAGGGUGAGGAACACGUGAACAACCUGGCCUUCGAGUUGGGGAUAGCUUCUGGAAACGGGAGAUAAUACCGAAUAACAGUCAUUUUGGUACGCAUGACCGAAUGAUCAAAGCAGCAAUGCGCUUGAAGAGGGGUUCGCGUCCAUUAGCUAGUUGGUGAGGUAACGGCCACCAAGGCGAUGAUGGGUAGCUGGUCUGAGAGGACGAUCAGCCACAUUGGGACUGAGAUACCGCCCAGACUCCUACGGGAGGCUGCAGUCGAGAAUUUUGGGCAAUGGACGAAAGUCUGAACCCCCAGCAAUGCCGCGUGCGGGAUGAAGGUCUUCGGAUUGUAAACCGCUGUCAAGAGGGACGAAAUAUGACGGUACCUCUGGAGGAAGCCACGGCUAACUACGUGCCAGCCGCCGC
rnacentral:rRNA from 1 species